AUCUCUAAACCCUAAUCUCUUUAUCUCUCCCAAUCCCUCCCAUUCUUACGAUUAAUUUGCUUAGGUUUCUCUGCCAAUUAGUCGAUCAAUUAUCUUACCCUUUUACGUACGUAUCUACUGUGCUUUGCGUAUUUGAUAGUUCUGCAAAUUGAGGAUUCACAUUCUGAAUUCUGCUGUCGGGGAGCAUGAGUGGAAGAGGAAGGGACAGAUUCCAUAGAGAUUAUCCUCCUAGAGCAGAAGAGAAGGGACAUCAUGGGAGAAAUAGUGCUCCCCCAUCUCGGCAUCUCUGGAUUGGAAAUCUUCCUCAUGACAUAUCUGAGAAUUUCUUAGCUCACCACCUCUUGCAAUUUGGUGAACUUGAAAGUCUUGCUUUUCAAACAGGCCGUAGCUAUGCAUUUGUUAACUAUAAGAAUGAAGAGGAUGCUUUUGAAGCUAUAAGGGCACUACAAGGUUUUCUGUUCGCUGGGAACUCGCUUAGAAUUGAGUUUGCAAAGGCGGAUAAAUCAUCAACAACUUCACGCAGUGAAGAUUAUGGACAAUAUCAGGAAGAAGGUCCUUCACUAAGAGCUCCUCCAUUUUCUGAGAGGGAUAGUCGACAUCGCCAUUCUAGUCCUGAUCCAUUUUACCCAGAUAAAUCAAUGAAGAGCGAUAAAACUGCAGAAUCACCAAGUCAAGUCCUGUGGGUUGGUUUUCCAGCUUCUCUGAAGGUAGAUGAGUUCAUUCUAAGGCGUGCAUUUUCACCAUUUGGUGAGAUAGACCAGAUCUCUGCUUUUCCAGGCCGUACUUAUGCUUUUGUUCGCUUCAAAAGCAUAAUGGCAGCCUGCAAGGCCAAAGAAACGCUUCAGGGAAAAUUGUUUGGUAAUCCUCGUGUGCAUAUUAGCUUCUCAAAGAAUGAAAUUGGCCCUUCCAAAAGUGGUAAAAGCUCGAUGAAUCCCCCUUCUCCUCCUCAUUCUAAAUCAUUUGGACGAGGGGGGCCUUCAGGAAGAUUCAGGGAAGACCGAGAUUUCAGGGAUUUUACUGACGAUGAUUUGGAGCCCAAUGACCAUAAUAUCAGAAGAUUUCAUAGGAGAGGUAACUCAUGGGAAGAUCUUGAAGAUGAUUUUGAACAUAGGAGAUUCCGUGAACCGGGUCCCAAUUUAGUAGAGCGAAAUACAUACAUACCCCAUGGCAGUCCUAGACGACAUAGGGUGGGUGAGUCCUUCCAUGAGAUGUCUCCUCAGCAAUUUUCUCGAAAUGGUGCUCCAUAUGAUGAUCCAUGGGACUUGCCCAAAGAGACAAUGCCUCCGUUUCGUGGGGCUAAGAAACUUAAAACUAGCCCUUACUCGAUUGAUAAUGAGCUUCCCGAGUAUCCUUUAUCAGGUCCAGACCAAAGGCAACGUGUUUACCCCAGGACGGCUCCAGAUUCUCUUCAGCCAAAGGCGUCUGAAAGAAAUUUCGAACGUGGACCAUUUGCAUAUAAUGAAAUGCCUGAUCGUUCAAUGAAUUUGAAUGAACUACAUGGUGGGAGGAGUGAAGGUAGCUUCCAGGCUGCUUCUUCUAUUGUGCCUUCAAAUAAUGAUCGGAAAAGACCAGCUCCGGAUUCUCAUCAAACUUUGGCUGGUGAGUGGAAAUGGGAAGGUACUAUAGCAAAGGGAGGGACUUCAAUCUGUAGAGCAAGGUGCUUCCCUGUUGGAAAACCUCUUGACAUGACGUUGCCGGACUUCUUGGACUGCACUGCAAGGACAGGGCUAGAAAUGCUUGCCAAGCAUUAUUAUCAGGCAGCCAAUGCAUGGGUAGUAUUCUUUGUUCCACAAAGUGAUGCCGAUAUUGGGUUUUACAAUGAAUUCAUGUAUUAUCUCGGGGAGAAGCAGAGGGUGGCCGUUGCCAAAUUGGAUGACAGGACCUCCUUGUUUCUCGUUCCUCCUUCCGAUUUCUCAGAAAAAGUACUUAAAGUACCAGGUAACGUUAGUAUUUCUGGUGUCAUUCUGAAAUUGGAUACCCCUGGCUCUAAACCACCUUCAGGAGUUCCCCAUCAUUCUCAGUCAUUUGCUAAUCCGGGAAGAUUUAAAGUUGAUGAUAUGUCUGCCCGGCUGGAUUAUUCGAAAUCUGCUCCGUUGCCAUCUUUUCAAGAUUCUUCUCGUUCUGUUCAACGUGAUUUUAUGAAUCAUCCUCUGAAUGAUUCAUUUGAAUCAGACUGGUCACCUCACCAUCGGCAGAACCCACCUAACCUGGAUGUUCGGAAUUUACAAUCGCAAGCAAAUGAUGGUGCUUCAGGGUUUAAUAAUGUUCCUAAUCCCAAGAGUAUACUACUUGAAACUAGUUCAAAUAUAGCAUCAGCGGGCAGUGGCAAGCUACCACAACAAGAAUCUGCACCAGCUGCGGUCAAUCAGACAGAUCUUGCUCGUUUAGCCUCAUCCCUUUUCGGGCAACAAUCAUUAGCAGGAGGCUAUUCAGCUGCUGGUGAUGAUUUUAGGCUACCAAACUCUAUGUCCCAAACAAACUUUCCUUCUGAGGUUUCCUCAUCUCAGUUUGGUCAAGUGCCCCAAAGAGAGUUCCAGACAGCCCCUGCACAGGGGAACCGACAACCGCAGUCAUCCACAAGCACACAAGACGGUGAUGAUGCAGAUCCCCAGAAACGUCUGCACGCCACUUUACAGUUAGCUGCGGCCCUCCUUCAGCAAAUCCAACAUGGGAAAGGAACUUGAAGGGUUCAAGCUUUGUAGACAAAUAGAUCCUCUGAAGAAACCAACCCGACGAGAUUAAAGAUAGAAAGUCACAUUGGGUCAGGGAGUAAAAAAAGGGGGAAAUGCGAGAAAAAUGUGUUGGAAGCAGCCCUAGAAGAAGAUGAAGAAGAUGAAGAAGAAGAAGUGAGGCUUGGAUUGCUGAUUCCAUGAAUCUGCCUUGCAGACUCUACUGAGGAGCUCAUGGAGGAUGAUGAGACUUGGCAGCAGCAUCCAUCUUUUUUUUAAACUUUUAUUGUGUAGUAUUUUUAUGAUUGUUAGUCGCCCUUAAAGCUUCUACUUUACUUGAAAUGUCAUGGCAAUAUUUCAAAACUUAUAAUAACUAAAUUCUUGCUACAAAUUUGCUUUCUAGGGCUUGUGAAAUGGAAUGUAGCUUAAAUUUUUGGACCAAGUUAAA